GUAUAUCAUAUUAACUGUUAUAGACAAAUUUGCUAACUGUUUAAUGAGAAAAGUAUUGUUUUCAAAGCAAUGGUUUCAGCCCCAAUGUUAAUAACUUAAAAAAUGUGCAUUUUCGGGCUCUAAUUCCCUUUUAAAAGAAGUUUUUUUUUAUUAAUUUAAAUCGUUAAAAUCCAUCGCAAACGGUACACUGGCUUCAUUAAAGAAAUCUGCAUUAUUUAAACAGAAGAAAUUUUUUGUAUUAAUAAUGACUAAAACGUCUUUUUAUAAAGUUCUUAAUGGAUGUAUUGCUCAACGAGAAAAAAAUCUAUGACUUUCCCAAUGGAUAUAUUGCUGGAACUAAAAAAAAAUUAAAUAAAUAGAAUACACAUCAACGAGAACAAAAUGGCAAACACAAUAUCGUUAAUGUCCAAUGUGAUACGCAAUGUAGUGAGCAAAAAUCGUAUUCGGUACAAAGGAGAGCGAUUCGACUUGGAUCUUACAUACAUUUACGACAAUAUAAUUGCCAUGGGGUAUCCUUCGCCAGAUAAACUGGAGCGCAUGUACAGAAAUUGUCAAGAAGAUGUUCUCAAAUUUUUGGAUGAAAAGCAUGGAGAUCAUUAUAAAAUUUAUAAUCUAUGUCUUGAACGCAUUUAUGACUCCAAUAAAUUUCAUGGGAGAGUUGCAAUUUUUCCGUUCGAAGAUCAUAAUCCUCCAACGAUUGAAUUGAUACAAAAAUUUUGUAAAGAUGUGGAUUCUUGGCUCAAGGAAGAUGUAUUAAAUGUCGUUGCCGUACAUUGUAAAGCUGGAAAAGGAAGAACAGGUACCAUGAUUUGUGCAUAUUUACUGUACAGUGGCUUACAGAAAUCCGCUGAUGAGGCCUUGGCCUGGUAUGAUGAAAAACGUACAAAGGAUGGUAAAGGUGUCACAAUCCCAUCUCAGCGACGAUAUGUUCAGUAUUUUUCAAACCUAGUUUGUUCUAGUGUUCCAUAUUCAAAAAAAAUGUUUAAAGUCUGUGAAAUACGGUUUUCGGAGUCCAGUUUGCUGAAAAACCUAGGGACGGUAAAAUGUAAAGUAUUUGUACUACAGGACUCUACAACAGAAAAUGUAAAAGAACAUAGUUCGAAAAAGUGGACUGUUGAUUUUCAAGAAUCUUGUGUGUUGAAUAUAAAUCCAUCUCUAUCGGUUGCCGGUGAUAUAAAAUUUGAAUUUGAACAAAAGUCUUCAGAGAAAGUAAUUUUCCAUUUUUGGCUAAAUACAUUCUUCGUUCAAAAUUCUUCAGUUUGCGAAUCCGACGGAACCCUUUUAAAAUGUACAUACACAUUAAAAAAAUCAGAAAUCGAUGGUGUUCAUAAAGACCGCAAACACAAAUCGUUUUCAGAAGACUUCAAGAUUUCCAUAUUAUUUGAGGGAGAAGCGUGUUUCAAUGAUGAAACGAAAUCGAAAAAGCAACCAAAAGCCGCAUUGGAAAACCAGGAUAUAUCGACUAAAAUUCAAUACGACACAACAACCAAUUUAAAAAAUGUCUCGACUGCGUCAAAACGCAAACAGCCCAAUAACAUACCUCUUGCAUCAAACUUAAAUAAUGAUUCCACAGGAAUGGAUUUAAAAAAAAUACAUACUUUCAAACCACCGUCCAUUACAAAAAGUAACUUAACCACUUGGGAGAAUGGUGAAAUUAAUAUCACCUCUGAUACUCGAAGUAUAAAUGAUAAUAAACACAUCAAUUAUGAUUCAUACAUCACAUAUAAGCAAUCUUCUCCAAAAGAUGGAGAGGAAGAUUGGGAAUCUGAUUUUCGCUUACAAAGAGGACGAAUUCCAUCCAAAUCUUCGAUUGGCCGUAGAAACUCUGAUAGCUCAGCCAUGUACCAAUGUGGGACGGUUAUUCAGUACGUUCAGAAGAGAGACUUGGCUAAGAACUACGACUGAAUCAUGUCCGAAUGGUGAAUCAACACGCCUGUAAUCAAUACUUACGGACUUAUAAUUCUUGGUGAUGUAGAAAAAGACAUGGAGAACAAUAAAUUCGAAGCCACAGCACACAAAAUUUAACGAGAAGAUGCUUGCGAAGUAAAACAAAGAAAAGAGGACGAAGGUAUUGACAGACUCGCCACCCAUCGCAGCCCGGAUGAGGGUAUCAGGGGCAAAGGUUUCGGCCCCAGCAAAAAACCAGCACACGCCAAGAAAUUAGCUGGAGACCAGGUAGAGAUACCACCACCAAGAGCCAAGCAGGUGAGGAAGCAGACAACGACGUGCUUGACCUCGGACUAGCGAAAUCAGAAAGAAGACCAACUCCAGAACCAGAG